rnacentral:SRP_RNA from 1 species
GUCGAGCAUGGUGGUGCAUGCCUGUAGUCCCAGCUAAUUGGGAAGCUGAGGCAGGAGGACCUCUUGAAUCCAGGAGUUCUGGUCUGUAGUGCGCUAUGGCAAUCAGGUGUCUGCACUAAAUUGGGCAUCAAUAUGGUGACCUCCCUGGAGCGGAGGACCACCAGGUUGCCUAAGAAGGGGUGAACCGGCCCAUGUCAUAAAUGGAGCAGGUCAAAACUCCUUUUCUGAUCAGUAGUGGGAUCACACCUGUGAAUAGCCACUGCACUCCAGCCUGGGCAACAUAGUGAGACUCCGUCUCUU